rnacentral:misc_RNA from 1 species
AACGCAUCUUACACUCUCUGGUAUUCCGGAGAGUAUGUCUGUUUGAGUGUCAUGAAUUCUUCAACCCUCCCUUUUCUUAGUGAAUUGAGAGGAGUUUGGAUUCUGAGUGUUGCUCCUAACCCGAGCUCAUUCGUAAUAUAUUAGCAUCCAUAUUCGACUUCGGAUUGACUUGGCGUAAUAGACUAUUCGCUGAGGAAUCUAACUUCGGUUAGAGCCGUUUUUGAACUAGGAAGCUGCUAAUCUAGCUUAGUCUACCUUUAGAUUAGAUCUCAAAUCAGAUAGGAUUACCCGCUGAACUUAA